rnacentral:misc_RNA from 1 species
GAAAUGCGAUAAGUAAUGUGAAUUGCAGAAUUCAGUGAAUCAUCGAAUCUUUGAACGCACAUUGCGCCCCCCGGUAUUCCGAGGGGCAUGCCUGUUCGAGCGUCAUUAUAACCUAUCCAGCCCUGCUGGGUCUUGGGCCUGCCGCCUGGCGGGCCCCAAAGCCAGUGGCGACGCCGCCCGGCGCCGGAGCGUAGUAACAACCCUCGCUACCGGCCCAGGCGCGCGCCCGCCAGCGACCCCCUUCUACGGUUGACCUCGGAUCAGGUAGGGAUACCCGCUGAACUUAA